CCAAAUUCAAUGAUUCAACUAAAUUUAAAUUCUGUUUUGAACUUCAAACUUCCAAAAAUCAAACACAACCAUAAUGUGAAUAUAACUUCUACUAUUUGCAUUAAUAUUAUUUUUCUUUCUUUAGUGUAUAUUCUUUUUCUUCUUCUCUUUUCUUUUCUCCUUCCAUUUUAAAAUUCCAUUUUUCAACUUAAACUUGUCUCACAAAUUUGAAUACAAGUGCAGAAAUACAAGAACUUCAGCAUGAGAUGUAUAUUUAUGUAUUUA
rnacentral:lncRNA from 7 species